rnacentral:rRNA from 1 species
UACGUAGGGUGCAAGCGUUAAUCGGAAUUACUGGGCGUAAAGCGCGCGCAGGCGGUCUUUUAAGUCUGGUGUUUAAACCUGGGGCUCAACUCCGGGUCGCAUUGGAAACUGGGAGGCGUCGAGUGCAGAAGAGGAGAGUGGAAUUCCACGUGUAGCGGUGAAAUGCGUAGAGAUGUGGAGGAACACCAGUGGCGAAGGCGACUCUCUGGACUGUAACUGACGCUGAGGCGCGAAAGCGUGGGGAGCAAACAGG